ACCCGUCGUGCAACUCGAAACAAUUUACUUUCAGUUUUCCCAAAAGGAAGUUGGCGCAAAUUAGACUGCGGGGCUGGAUGUGUGAUCAUGGAGGUCAGAGGUGAUGAAGAGGUUGCAGAUGGCCAUCAUGUCAUCCAACGCUGAUGUUUCCAUCAGAGUCCAGGGAUGAGCGGUCCAAUGGUAUCACGUGCUUUAAAACAAAUUGUUUCUAUCCGUGACAUUUCUUUGACCUACUUAACUCAACUUGCACUGACAUGACUGUGGUUCGUCGACUUGGGUCUCCAGAAAGGAUGGAUGUGGUUGAAGAGGGUUCGUUCACACACUCCACCACUCUGACCAACAAGCAGCGUGGGAACGAGGUCACCGUGCGCCCGGCGAGCCUGGACGGUGAAUACCGGGAAGAUGCUCCGGGGGCGAAGUGCACGUACACAACUGUCGGUGUAUUUAACAGUGUAAUUACCUCAAAGUACAAGAAGAUGAACGACAGCAAAGCUACUCAUGCAUCUAGUUUGGUUUCCUAAAGUUACAAAUGUACUAACAUCUUUUACCCAUGGGGUAAAUUUGACCCCAGCAAUUAAAACCUCCAGAAAAUUAUUAGAAUUAAUAUUGUUUCCCAAGUUUAAGUGCCAGGUACUUUAGGUUUGUUUGUUGACUACCUAAAUAGCCUUUUAAAUGAAUAAAAACCCUCCUAUUACCUUUGAGGUCAAUUUGACCCCAUUCAAUGUUUAACGUCUCUAAACAUUUCUGAUUUUUUUUUCCUGGGGUCAAAUUGACCACGAACAUAAUCCAUGUUAUUUUUCUUGAUAACAGAAAUAGUUUUUCAUUCCAAAUGGUAUACAAAAAACAUGUACUUAGAAGUAAUAUAAAGCCAUUAACAAUGUUAAUGGCUUCAUAUUAUAUGGCUUAAACACAAUUAUAAGAACAUAUAAUACAAACGCUCAAUUGGUUGUGUGCACACUUGUUCAGGUUUAUACAUAAACAAACACACAACCAAUACCUCAUUAACAACAUUGAACUUGCCUCCUCGACUGAUCUAAAACAAACAUGAGCCUGUUGUCUUGUUAGUUCCAUGACAUCGUGUAACUGUUGUAAAUGCACAAAGGUGAGAGGUCACACAGACCGAGACCCCGGUCACAGUCACGAGGCAUUGCAAUAGAUCUGUGCUGUUUAUUCCUUUUGCAUGUUUUCUCUUGUAUGUUUUGAAAUGUACUAACAAGGACUACAAUGCACUUUGUGUUUGGUUGGAGGACAACAACAAAAAAGGACAGGGAACAAGUUUGAAUUUUAAAAAAAAACUGUA